CAGUCGGUCCUAAGCGAUAGGCGAGUGCCGUUCCGAAAGGGCGGGCGAUGGCCUCCGUUGUCCUCAGCCGAUCGAAAGGGAGUCGGGUUCAGAUCCCCGAAUCCGGAGUGGCGGAGACGGGCGCCGCGAGGCGCCCAGUGCGGUGACGCAACCGAUCCCGGAGAAGCCGGCGGGAGCCCCGGGGAGAGUUCUCUUUUCUUUGUGAAGGGCCGGGCGCCCUGGAAUGGGUUCGCCCCGAGAGAGGGGCCCGCGCCUUGGAAAGCGUCGCGGUUCCGGCGGCGUCCGGUGAGCUCUCGCUGGCCCGUGAAAAUCCGGGGGAGAGGGUGUAAGUCUCGCGCCGGGCCGUACCCAUAUCCGCAGCAGGUCUCCAAGGUGAACAGCCU
rnacentral:ncRNA from 1 species